rnacentral:tRNA from 1 species
CAUUAAGUCACUUAAAUGCAAGUUAUGGUCUCUUAAACCAGUUUAUAGUAAAUUAGCGCUUACUCUUAAUGA